AGUAAGUUCAGCCCUGAGAUGGAGUACGCCUUUAAUAAAAUAGAGACUGUCCUCAGCCAUGAAAGAAGUCCACGGUAUGGCGAAUAAAUUGCGAUAGCCAACUGCCUUACCCCCAGUAAAUGUAUAGUUUCCCUUGUAUUUGCUGACAUACUCCUCUGCUAGUGUUGUCCUCGCAGCAAAUUCAUAAUCGACUGUAAAUGAAACUGAACCCUUUUCCUGCAUUCCCAAAAAGAGACCAAAACAAUGGAAAGAGCUUUG
rnacentral:misc_RNA from 1 species